rnacentral:rRNA from 1 species
GUGGGGAAUAUUGGACAAUGGGGGGAACCCUGAUCCAGCCAUGCCGCGUGUGUGAAGAAGGCCUUUUGGUUGUAAAGCACUUUAAGCGAGGAGGAGGCUACCGAGAUUAAUACUCUUGGAUAGUGGACGUUACUCGCAGAAUAAGCACCGGCUAACUCUGUGCCAGCAGCCGCGGUAAUACAGAGGGUGCAAGCGUUAAUCGGAUUUACUGUGCGUAAAGCGCGCGUAGGUGGCCAAUUAAGUCAAAUGUGAAAGCCCCGAGCUUAACUUGGGAAUUGCAUUCGAUACUGGUUGGCUAGAGUAUGGGAGAGGAUGGUAGAAUUCCAGGUGUAGCGGUGAAAUGCGUAGAGAUCUGGAGGAAUACCGAUGGCGAAGGCAGCCAUCUGGCCUAAUACUGACACUGAGGUGCGAAAGCAUGGGGAGCAAACAGGAUUAGAAACCCGAGUAGUCC